rnacentral:rRNA from 2 species
UACGUAGGGGGCAAGCGUUGUCCGGAAUUACUGGGCGUAAAGGGAGCGUAGGCGGUCUUUUAAGUUAGAUGUGAAAUACCCGGGCUCAACUUGGGAGGUGCAUCUAAAACUGGAGGACUUGAGUGCAGGAGAGGAAAGUGGAAUUCCUAGUGUAGCGGUGAAAUGCGUAGAUAUUAGGAGGAACACCAGUGGCGAAGGCGACUUUCUGGACUGUAACUGACGCUGAGGCUCGAAAGCGUGGGGAGCAAACAGG